AUGCCGGGGCUGUCUGUGCCCUCUCUCCGUGCCCGAGCGCCGGCCGGCCCCGGGGGCGGGCAGAACUCAUCGCAGGGUGCCUGGCACGGCUGCUGGGGGGCACAGCCCCGCUGUUCGGGGGCUCCCUGCUCGGGGUGGGGACAGGGCACCCUCUGCGCUUCGGGAUGGGCUCACAGACCCGGCUGGGCAGAUCCUGCUGCUCCCGGAGCCCCGGGACCGCGGGGACUCGUCCCGCCGGCGGCGGGGGCUGCGGGCGAGGGAAAUGGCGGAGAGAGCCGGGGAUGGGGAGAGGGGAGGAGGAGGAGGAAGGGAGGGCGGGGGACUGUGCGGGCUCGGCAUGCGUGGGCAGGGGGCGGGUGCGACAGCGUGUGCGGGUGUGCCCUUGUGUGUGUGUGCGUGUGCGUGUAUGCAUUUGUGCGUGUGCAUUUGUGUGUGUGCGUGUGCAGGGGUGUGUGCACAGCCGGGCACGCCCCCGUGCCUGUGCCCCGUGUCCCGGCCCACCCGCGGCGGGGGCGCACGGAUCCCACUCCCCGGAGCGGGGGGAGCGCCGGGACUCGGCCAGGGAGGCGUCGUGCACUCCCUUCCCCCUCAUCCGCGUUUCCGCCGUGGGGUUUGGGGAGAUGGGGUGAAUUAUGGGGAAUGAUGGGGGGGCGGUGUUCCGAGCAUCGCUGCUGCCCCCUUCCCCCCCACCCAUGGAAGCUGCGCCUGCAGCGGGGCUGGAGCCCCCCGCCCGCCCCGGUACCACGGCAGGCAGAGGCUGCAGGGGCGGACACGAUUCACACACUCCCCCCGCACCCACGGCCCCGCGCCCGGCCAGGAGCCUUCCCGGCCCCUCCCCAGCCCUACCCCGGCCCCGCCGCGCUUUUCGCAUCCUCCGCCGGGAGGGGGGGGGAUCACACCGGGCACGCAGGGCUCCCCCGGGGGCCGCCCCCCGUUGACCAGGGGGUGAGGGUCGGUGGGGGGAUGGCCCCAGUCGCAGGGGCGGGGACCCCCGGCCGCGGCGGGGCAUCUCGGCGCUGCUGCCGGCGGCCGCGGGAGGGCGUCGCCUGUGUUAGUUCCCUCCGGAGAACCCAGGGCCAGCGCCGCCGCCACCGCCCCCCGGGCCCCGCCGCCUCCCCCCGCCCGCGGAGGCCCCUCUUGAGCGGCGGGUGA
rnacentral:lncRNA from 1 species